rnacentral:rRNA from 1 species
GACGAACGCUGGCGGCGUGCUUAACACAUGCAAGUCGAACGGAAAGGCCCUGCUUUUGUGGGGUGCUCGAGUGGCGAACGGGUGAGUAACACGUCAGUAACCUGCCCUUGACUUUGGGAUAACUUCCGGAAACUGGGGCUAAUACCGGAUAGGAGCUCCUGCUGCAUGGUGGGGGUUGGAAAGUUUCGGCGGUUGGGGAUGGACUCGCGGCUUAUCAGCUUGUUGGUGGGGGAGUGGCUUACCAAGGCAUUGACGGGUAGCCGGCCUGAGAGGGUGACCGGCCACAUGGGGACUGAGAGACGGCGCAGUGUCCUACGGGAGGCAGCAGGGGGGAAUAUGGCACAAUGGGCGGAAGCCUGAUGCGGCAACGCCGCGGGCGGGAUGACGGCCUGCGGGUCGUAAACCGCUUGCGCCUGUGACGAAGCGUGAGUGACGGUAAUGGGUAAAGAAGCACCGGCUAACUACGUG